GUGGUUGUGGCCGAGUGGUUAAGGCAAUGGACUUAAAAUCCGUUGGGGUCAACCCGCACAGGUUCAAAUCCUGUCGAAUACG